rnacentral:rRNA from 1 species
GACGAACGCUGGCGGCGUGCUUAACACAUGCAAGUCGAGCGGUAAGGCCCUUUCGGGGGUACACGAGCGGCGAACGGGUGAGUAACACGUGGGUGACCUGCCCUCAGCUCUGGGAUAAGCCUGGGAAACUGGGUCUAAUACCGGGAUAUGACUCCAUGACGCAUGUUGUGGGGUGGAAAGCCUUGUGCGGCUGAGGAUGGGCCCGCGGCCUAUCAGCUUGUUGGUGGGGUGANGGCCUACCAAGGCGACGACGGGUAGCCGGCCUGAGAGGGCGACCGGCCACACUGGGACUGAGACACGGCCCAGACUCCUACGGGAGGCAGCAGUGGGGAAUCUUGCGCAAGUGGGACGAAAGCCUGACGCAGCGACGCCGCGUGAGGG